GUGCUCGCUUCGGCAGCGCAUACACUUACAUUGGAACGAUACAGAGAUUAGCGUCGCCCCUGCACAGGGAUGACACACAAAUCGGUGAAGGAUUCCUUUUUUUU